GCCGGCCGUCCAGCCGCCCCGGGGCUGCCUAGGGGUCCUCAGCGCGGCUCCUCGGGCUCCGCCCACCGAAACUUCUGUUUUUCCUGUAAGAGCGAGGCAGGCAGCUGUGCGAGUCUCACAGCUUUCAUUGCUUUUCCGUCCCUCAGGAAAGGCGCUUAGGCUUCCCGGCGUUUGACCUCCGGAUGAACUGACCAGAGCAAUGAGAUGAGAUGGAGAGUCAAUAGACUUUCAGGCUACUAGGUCUGGAAGGGAUUGGUGGGCUGGAAGCCACGUCUCUGCAUCUGGAAAAUCUCUUCAGGAGAAGAGACAGUUGACAGGCAGUAGGAAUGUGACUGAAUUUGGGGUGGAGUGAAAUAUAAAGGAUAUGCAAACACCUAUCAUAAUGCUUCACCUAUAGGAGAGGGGCAAUAAACACUUGUGAAAUCUAAGCAGAAGCUAGGUAAGUUUUUCUUCUAUGCUCCCCUUCUUUUUUAUACAUCAGCUUUGAGUCAGUUUCCAUCCUGUGCUGAGUCAGGCUUUUUGGCCUUAGUUGCAAACCUGCUCCCUAAUCUCCAUCCAGACGCACAGAGAAGGUUUGGAAUGCACGUUUUUCCCUGAAGAAGUGUGGCCAGCAGUUCUGCCUCCUUCCCAGAGGAGAGGUCUGACUGGUGGGAGCCGGAGGAAGAGAUAGACAUGGGACGAGAACUCCUACAGAGAUCCCACUAGUUAAGGGCUCAGUACCAGGCACUCUGCAGUUGCUCUCAGUCAUUGCCAGCAUCUUGUCUCCUUAAUAACAAAGGAAGAUGGAGGAAGGAGUCAUCCCCAUGCACCACAUUCUUGCCGUCAGAGAAUGGCUUUGGGAAUCACUCCUUUAUCGCUGGAAGUUUCUGCCUCUCUUAGGACUCAGAGGACUAAGUCCAGAGGGACUUCAACAUUCAUCAGUCUCAUGAUGUCCCCUUGAAUUUAUAUGCAGAGGGAGAUGCUAGAGAGAGGCUAGGACCCAGGAAGAGCCACGUCCAGCCGUGUGACAACACAGAGCACAGCACCUGCAGUGUUCCUGCGCAGUUAGGUGUGUGCAGGAGGGAUCUGCUUUCUGCCAAGCUCCAGCUCUGUCUGGCUCAAGACAUUUUGGGGUGGGAGGCAGGGGCCAGACUUCUGGAGACCACAGAACCUCAAGUGAGGGAAGACAUCUGAAGGGCAGCGAGCUUGGCCUUCGUUGUUAGAAGGGGGCCAUACAGGGCACAGAGUGGUGACUUUCCCCUGGGAUUUGUCCCACCCAGCCCCGCAGAAUCAGGUCAGUCGUGGAAUACAGGGCACCAUGAGUGAGAGGGAAAAGAGCUGUUCAGUGAGGGGUUGGGAGGUAUUGGAGCCAGAGCAGCUCAGAUCUGGCACUCCCGGGCUCCAUGUGAGUUAGCAGCAUGAGACACCCUCCUCUCCUCCAUGGUGUAUUUUGUCACAUGGAGGUUCUAGCAAUUUCUUUGUCUAGGCUGGCAGUUUCCAGUGUAGGGAGAAACACAGACUGGCAGGAGUGGAGAUGGCCAGCAGGUGCAGCCAUGCCCAGGAUUGGUGGCAGUGACCCGUGGGAGGGAAGGAUGGAGGUGUCCACAGUGCAUCAGUGUGCUCUCUGGAUGCAAGAGCUGUGACCAGAGAAACCCCAGUGCUUAGUGAGACAGAAGGACAGAGGUGCCCUACAGAGGCAGCCUUUGGAGCCAAAAGCCAGCAAAAGAGGCUGGGAGCCUGGGACACCAUGUGGUAGUUGAGUGGACUUGGGCUUGAGCUCCCAGAGGACUCCCAGAAACACAGUACAGGAGGCUCUGCCAGGAGAUGAAGACUUGCAUUGGCUGGUGGUUAGUGGACUGACUACUGUCCAGGUCAUCUGGGUUUAAACUUAGCCUGCCCAAGGAAUGCUGGGAUAUCUGUCAGUAUCCCAUUAUCAGUGGAAUGAAGCCUGCUUUGACACAUCCUUUGAGCACUCAUAUCUCUCUCU